rnacentral:rRNA from 1 species
UAAAUAGUUGGCAUAGAUUUGCUAUUCUCGAAUUGGAAAGAUUUAAGAGAUUAUGAAUUUUACUGUUGCAUAAGUAUUUAUAAUAUUCUUUUGGUAGUGAAACGUUAUUCGAUUUUUAAUAUAUCUAGUUGUUCAGGAAAAAAAUUUAAUUUUGCCAGCUGGUGAGUAGCCCAAUUUUUUGGGUUAAUCUUGUUGCUGAGUAGUAUAUAUGGGGAUAAGCUCGUAUAUAAAUUUCUAUAAUUUUGAUUUAGAUUAAUUAAUUGUAGGAUUAGAAGUUUUCAUCAAUAGUAUAGUGUUAUAUCAGUUUUUUAAAAUAUUUUAUUUUUAUUUAAUUUAGGUUGUUUACUGAAUUUUUGAGUGGAAUUUUGUUUCUUAAGAAAUAAUGAUGGAAUUAGUAUAUAUAUAUGUAUUUAUAAUUUUUUGUUUUAGGUCAAACGAAGGAAUUCGGCAAAUACUUUUCCGCCUGUUUAUUAAAAACAUGUCCUUUUGAUGAUGAUUUAAGGUCUAACCUGCCCACUGAAAUUUUAAAGGCCGCGGUAUUUUGACCGUGCAAAGGUAGCAUAAUAAUUAGUUUUUUAAUUGAAAGCUGGAAUGAAUGGUUGAACGAGAGAAGUUCUGUCUCCGAUUGAUAAGUAGAAUUUUAUUUUUAAGUUAAAAAGCUUAAAUGAUUUUAAAAGACGAGAAGACCCUAUAGAGUUUUAUAUUUUGUUAUUUAUUUGGGUAAAUGGAUUUAUUUAUUUGGUUUAUGAUGAAAUAUUUUGUUGGGGCGAUAGAAAAAUUAAAUUAACUUUUUCUUAUUAUAACAUUUAUUUAUGAUUAUUUGAUCCGUUAUUAACGAUUACAAGAUUAAAUUACCUUAGGGAUAACAGCGUUAUCUUUCUUGAGAGUUCUUAUCGAAAGAAGGGAUUGCGACCUCGAUGUUGGAUUAAAAUUUACUUUUGGUGUAGGUGCUAAUAGGUUAGGUCUGUUCGACCUUUAAAAUUUU